rnacentral:misc_RNA from 1 species
CUGAGUCCAAGUUAUGCACAUAUAAUAAACAAUAUAGGAUCAACUCAACAGAGUUUUUGCUUACAUUAAUAUAAUGGAUUGAUUAAUUAGUCUGUCCUACAAUCAUGCAGAGUAAGUAAUACCCACAUGCUUGGCACUCUAAAACAAAAGAAAAGCAGAGUAGAUUGCUAAAGAACAUAUUGAGAAAAAUACAACAGACAGUAUCCAAAUCACAGCUAAAGAUUAAAUAAGCAAUCGAUGGGUACCUUCUUUGUAACUUCAAUUUAAUGUGGCAGGAGAAAUUAGAGGUAGAAAUUUGAAUUUAUAUCUCAAAUUUGUUCCGUCUUGGUCAUAAGUUGUAAAAGAGCAUUUGCUUUUCUCUGGGCUCUAUUGGUUCCGCUGGUUUUGACCUCAACUAAAUGUUCAUAUACACCAUACUGAAGUGCAGCAAGUAUGAAAGAUGAGUUGUUUGACCCCAGCUCAAGAAGGACUGAUGUUGCACAUUCCUUGUUCUUUGGGGUGCCUUCUUUGAUGAAUUCUACAAGGAUUUCAAUGAAUGAUAGCUGCCCAAUCUCACUCCGACCCUCAGGAUGUGACACGAGAAGUAACAAGAUGGAGAGGGCCUCAUCAACCAUACCUAAGUUUUUAUCCUUGAGCAACUGAAGUAAGGGCGGAACGAUGCCAGCAUCAAUGGCUCUAGCCUUAUUUGAGUUGUUGAGCGAUAAGUUAAACAGUGCAGUGGCAGCGUCUUUUUUUCCUCUCGCUGUCCCAUUCUGUAACAAGUCUACUAAUGGUGGGAUGCCAUUGGAUAGGCCCACAGUUACCUUGUUCUCAUCAAGCAUCGAUAAGCUGAACAAAGCUGCUGCAGAAUUCUCCCUAGCCUCUCUACUUCCAUUCUGCAAAACUUCUAUUAUAGCUGGAAUGGCUCCUUCUUUAGCUAUGAGUCUCUUGUUAGUCUCAUCAAUUGAUAAAUUCAACAAAGCUGUCACGGAAUUCUCUUGAAUUUUAGAAUCUGGAUAGGACAGAAUUUGAACUAAUGGCGCUAUUCCUCCAUUUUUGGCAAUCAAGAUUCUAUUCUCAGAAUUCUCUUUGGAGAGAAUACGAAUCUUCUUCACAGCCUUCCUUUGCAUUUCCAACUGAGUAGAGCAUAGGUCCCUAACUAAAGAGCAGAUUUCCUCACUGUGCUCAGGGGAGCUCUCAGAGGAUGCAAAAUCAGCUUUU